AUUGAACGCUGGCGGCAUGCCUUACACAUGCAAGUCGAACGGCAGCACGGGAGCUUGCUCCUGGUGGCGAGUGGCGAACGGGUGAGUAAUGCAUCGGAACGUGCCCUGAAGUGGGGGAUAACGUAGCGAAAGUUACGCUAAUACCGCAUAUUCUGUGAGCAGGAAAGCAGGGGAUCUUCGGACCUUGCGCUUUUGGAGCGGUCGAUGUCGGAUUAGCUAGUUGGUGGGGUAAAGGCCCACCAAGGCGACGAUCCGUAGCGGGUCUGAGAGGAUGAUCCGCCACACUGGAACUGAGACACGGUCCAGACUCCUACGGGAGGCAGCAGUGGGGAAUUUUGGACAAUGGGCGCAAGCCUGAUCCAGCCAUGCCGCGUGAGUGAAGAAGGCCUCGGUUGUAAG
rnacentral:rRNA from 1 species